rnacentral:rRNA from 1 species
AUGCAUAGAUAUGUCACAGAACACCGAUUGCGAAGGCAGCUUACUAUGAUGAGAUUGACGCUGAGGCACGAAAGCGUGGGGAUCAAACAGGAUUAGAUACCCUGGUAGUCCACGCCCUAAACGAUGAAUACUCGCUGUUAGCGAUACACAGUUAGCGGCUAAGCGAAAGCGUUAAGUAUUCCACCUGGGGAGUACGGUCGCAAGAUUGAAACUCAAAGGAAUUGACGGGGGCCCGCACAAGCGGAGGAGCAUGUGGUUUAAUUCGAUGAUACGCGAGGAACCUUACCCGGGCUUGAAAGUUAGUGAAUCAUUUAGAGAUAGAUGAGUGAGCAAUCACACGAAACUAGGUGCUGCAUGGCUGUCGUCAGCUCGUGCCGUGAGGUGUUGGGUUAAGUCCCGCAACGAGCGCAACCCCUAUGUUUAGUUGCCAGCACGUUAAGGUGGGGACUCUAAACAGACUGCCUGUGCAAACAGAGAGGAAGGAGGGGACGACGUCAAGUCAUCAUGGCCCUUACGUCCGGGGCUACACACGUGCUACAAUGGAUGGUACAGAGGGCAGCAAGCUGGCAACAGCAAGCGAAUCUCCAAAAGCCAUUCACAGUUCGGAUAGAGGUCUGCAACUCGACCUCUUGAAGUUGGAUUCGCUAGUAAUCGCAUAUCAGCAAUGAUGCGGUGAAUACGUUCCCGGGCCUUGUACACACCGCCCGUCAAGCCAUGGAAGUUGGGGGUACCUAAAGUAUGUAACCGCA